rnacentral:rRNA from 1 species
GACGAACGCUGGCGGCGUGCCUAACACAUGCAAGUAGAACGCACAGUCUAUACCUUCGCUUGCUACACCAUUGACUGAGAGUUGCGAACGGGUUAGUAACGCGUAGGUAACCUGCCUGGUAGCGGGGGAUAACUAUUGGAAACGAUAGCUAAUACCGCAUAAUAUUAAUUAUUGCAUGAUAAUUUAUUGAAAGGUGGAAUUGCACCACUACCUGAUGGACUUGCGUUGUAUUAGCUAGUAGGUGAGGUAACGGCUCACCUAGGCGACGAUACAUAGCCGACCUGGAGGGGUGGACGGCCGGCCUGGGACUGGGACACGGCCCAGGCUCCUUCGGGGGGGAGCAAUAGGGAAACUUCGGCAAUGGGCGGAAGUCUGGCCGAACAACGCCGCGGGAGUGAAGAAGGUUGUCGGGUCGUAAAGGUCUGUUGUAAGGGAAGAAAGGGUGUGAGAGUGGAAAGUUCACGCUGUGACGGUAUCUGACCAAAAAGGAACGGCUAACUACGUG